rnacentral:rRNA from 1 species
GAUGAACGCUGGCGGCGUGCCUAAUACAUGCGAGUCGAGCGAACAGACGAGGAGCUUGCUCCUCUGACGUUAGCGGCGGACGGGUGAGUAACACGUGGAUAACCUACCUAUAAGACUGGGAUAACUUCGGGAAACCGGAGCUAAUACCGGAUAAUAUAUUGAACCGCAUGGUUCAAUAGUGAAAGACGGUUUUGCUGUCACUUAUAGAUGGAUCCGCGCCGCAUUAGCUAGUUGGUAAGGUAACAGCUUACCAAGGCAACGAUGCGUAGCCGACCUGGGAGGGUGAUCGGCCACACUGGAACUGAGACACGGUCCAGACUCCUACGGGAGGCAGCAGUAGGGAAUCUUCCGCAAUGGGCGAAAGCCUGACGGAGCAACGCCGCGUGAGUGAUGAAGGUCUUCGGAUCGUAAAACUCUGUUAUUAGGGAAGAACAAAUGUGUAAGUAACUAUGCACGUCUUGACGGUACCUAAUCAGAAAGCCACGGCUAACUACGUG